GUUUCGGGCCGAAACCCUUCUUCAGACUGAUGUAGGGUGGGGGGGGGGCGGGAAGAAGAAAGGAAGAGGAGGAGCCAGAGGGCUGAGGGAGAGCUGAAAAGGAGAGGAGACAACAAGGGCUACCUGAUGUAAUCAUCUGAUUGCAAGAUGUCGGCUUCCAAAGAUAAUUUCCAGCACACUUCAUCUCCAAGAUGCCAAUGCUAGCAGUGAGGUCUUUUGUCCCCCUGGCCUCUUCAAACUCACAUUUUAUUGGAUGGCAAAAUACAACUGCUGGUGCUAAUGGACUGGGUUAUGAAUCCUGGAAUGAAGAUCGUCGCCUCGACAGAAGUGAAUCAGAUUUUUACAUCUACAAUUCAAAGGCAUUGUCCCCAAUAAAUAUAAUGGUGAACAG